ACGCUAGCUACAGGCUUAACACAUGCAAGUCGAGGGGAAACGGCAUUGAGUGCUUGCACUCUUUGGACGUCGACCGGCGCACGGGUGAGUAACGCGUAUCCAACCUUCCCAUUACUGUGGGAUAACCUGCCGAAAGGCAGACUAAUACCGCAUAGUCUUCGAUGACGGCAUCAGAUUUGAAGUAAAGAUUUAUCGGUAAUGGAUGGGGAUGUGUCUGAUUAGCUUGUUGGCGGGGUAACGGCCCACCAAGGCAACGAUCAGUAGGGGUUCUGAGAGGAAGGUCCCCCACAUUGGAACUGAGACACGGUCCAAACUCCUACGGGAGGCAGCAGUGAGGAAUAUUGGUCAAUGGACGGAAGUCUGAACCAGCCAAGUAGCGUGCAGGAUGACGGCCCUAUGGGUCGUAAACUGCUUUUGUAUGGGGAUAAAGUUAGGGACGUGUCCCUAUUUGCAGGUACCAUACGAAUAAGGACCGGCUAAUUCCGUGCCAGCAGCCGCGGUAAUACGGAAGGUCCAGGCGUUAUCCGGAUUUAUUGGGUUUAAAGGGAGCGUAGGCUGGAGAUUAAGUGUGUUGUGAAAUGUAGACGCUCAACGUCUGACUUGCAGCGCAUACUGGUUUCCUUGAGUACGCACAACGUUGGCGGAAUUCGUCGUGUAGCGGUGAAAUGCUUAGAUAUGACGAAGAACUCCGAUUGCGAAGGCAGCUGACGGGAGCGCAACUGACGCUUAAGCUCGAAGGUGCGGGUAUCAAACAGGAUUAGAUACCCUGGUAGUCCGCACAGUAAACGAUGGAUGCCCGCUGUUGGUACCUGGUAUCAGCGGCUAAGCGAAAGCAUUAAGCAUCCCACCUGGGGAGUACGCCGGCAACGGUGAAACUCAAAGGAAUUGACGGGGGCCCGCACAAGCGGAG
rnacentral:rRNA from 1 species